GACGAACGCUGGCGGCGUGCUUAACACAUGCAAGUCGAACGGAAAGGCCCUGCUUUUGUGGGGUGCUCGAGUGGCGAACGGGUGAGUAACACGUGAGUAACCUGCCCUUGACUUUGGGAUAACUUCAGGAAACUGGGGCUAAUCCCGGAUAGGAGCUCCUGCUGCAUGGUGGGGGUUGGAAAGUUUCGGCGGUUGGGGAUGGACGCGCGGCUUAUCAGCUUGUUGGUGGGGUAGUGGCUUACCAAGGCUUUGACGGGUAGCCGGCCUGAGAGGGUGACCGGCCACAUUGGGACUAAGGUACGGCCCAGACGCCUACGGGAGGCAGCAGUGGGGAAUAUUGCACAAUGGGCGGAAGCCUGAUGCAGCAGCGCCGCGUGCGGGAUGACGGCCUUCGGGUUGUAAACCGCCUUCGCCUGUGACGAAGCGUGAGUGACGGUAAUGGGUAAAGAAGCACCGGCUAACUACGUG
rnacentral:rRNA from 1 species